GACGAACGCUGGCGGCGUGCUUAACACAUGCAAGUCGAACGGAAAGGCCCUGCUUUUGUGGGGUGCUCGAGUGGCGAACGGGUGAGUAACACGUGAGUAACCUGCCCUUGACUUUGGGAUAACUUCAGGAAACUGGGGCUAAUACCGGAUAGGAGCUCCUGCUGCAUGGUGGGGGUUGGAAAGUUUCGGCGGUUGGGGAUGGACUCGCGGCUUAUCAGCUUGUUGGUGGGGUAGUGGCUUACCAAGGCUUUGACGGGUAGCCGGCCUGGGAGGGUGACCGGCCACAUUGGGCCUGAGAUACGGCCCAGACUCCUGCGGGAGGCAGCAGUGGGGAAUAUUGCACAAUGGGCGGAAGCCUGAUGCAGCAACGCCGCGUGCGGGAUGACGGCCUUCGGGUUGUAAACCGCUUUCGCCUGUGACGAAGCGUGAGUGACGGUAAUGGGUAAAGAAGCACCGGCUAACUACGUG
rnacentral:rRNA from 1 species